rnacentral:rRNA from 1 species
UACGUAGGGAGCAAGCGUUGUCCGGAAUCAUUGGGCGUAAAGCGCGCGUAGGUGGCUUCGUAAGUCCGUUGUGAAAGUCAAAGGCUCAACCUUUGAAUGCCGAUGGAUACUGCGGAGCUAGAGUACGGAAGAGGCGAGUGGAAUUCCUGGUGUAGCGGUGGAAUGCGCAGAUAUCAGGAGGAACACCAAUGGCGAAGGCAGCACUCUGGGACGGUACUGACGCUGAGACGCGAAAGCGUGGGGAGCAAACAGG